rnacentral:rRNA from 1 species
UGCAAACUGAAGAUGGCGACCGGCGCACGGGUGAGUAACACGUAUCCAACCUGCCGAUAACUCCGGGAUAGCCUUUCGAAAGAAAGAUUAAUACCGGAUGGCAUACGAAUAUCGCAUGAUAUUUUUAUUAAAGAAUUUCGGUUAUCGAUGGGGAUGCGUUCCAUUAGUUUGUUGGCGGGGUAACGGCCCACCAAGACUACGAUGGAUAGGGGUUCUGAGAGGAAGGUCCCCCACAUUGGAACUGAGACACGGUCCAAACUCCUACGGGAGGCAGCAGUGAGGAAUAUUGGUCAAUGGGCGCGAGCCUGAACCAGCCAAGUAGCGUGAAGGAUGAAGGCUCUAUGGGUCGUAAACUUCUUUUAUAUGGGAAUAAAGUUUUCCACGUGUGGAAUCUUGUAUGUACCAUAUGAAUAAGGAUCGGCUAACUCCGUGCCAGCAGCCGCGGUAAUACGGAGGAUCCGAGCGUUAUCCGGAUUUAUUGGGUUUAAAGGGAGCGUAGGUGGAUUGUUAAGUCAGUUGUGAAAGUUUGCGGCUCAACCGUAAAAUUGCAGUUGAAACUGGCAGUCUUGAGUACAGCAGAGGUGGGCGGAAUUCGUGGUGUAGCGGUGAAAUGCUUAGAUAUCACGAAGAACUCCGAU